rnacentral:rRNA from 1 species
AAUAGAUACCCGGGUAGUCCUAGCCGUAAACGAUGGGCACUAGGUAGGGGGCUCGCCGAUGGGCUCCCUGCCGUAGGGAAACCGUGAAGUGCCCCGCCUGGGGAGUAUGGUCGCAAGGCUGAAACUCAAAGGAAUUGACGGGGGCUCACACAAGCGGUGGAGCAUGUGGCUUAAUUCGAGGCUACGCGAAAAACCUUAUCCUGGGCUUGACAUGCAGGGAUUAGCCGGCGGAAACGUCGGUGACGCCGCAAGGUGGAACCUGUGCAGGUGCUGCAUGGCUGUCGCCAGCUCGUGCCGUGAGGUUGUUGGGUUAAGUCCCGUAACGAGCGAAACCCCUGUGACUAGUUGCCAGCACGUAACGGUGGGGACUCUAGUCAGACCGCCGGCGUCAAGCCGGAGGAAGGCGGGGACGACGUCAAGUCAUCAUGGCCCUUAUGCCCAGGGCUGCACACGUGCUACAAUGGGGCGGACAGAGCGUCGCCAGGCCGCAAGGCCGCGCUAAUCGCAAAAACCGUUCCUCAGUUCGGAUUGCGGGCUGCAACGUCCG